rnacentral:rRNA from 1 species
CAGCCGCCGCGGUAAUACCGGCGGCCCGAGUGGUGGCCGCUAUUAUUGGGCCUAAAGCGUCCGUAGCCGGGCCCGUAAGUCCCUGGCGAAAUCCCACGGCUCAACCGUGGGGCUUGCUGGGGAUACUGCGGGCCUUGGGACCGGGAGAGGCGGGGGGUACCCCUGGGGUGGGGGGGGAAUCCUAUAAUCCCCGGGGGACCGCCAGGGGCGAAGGCGCCCCGCUGGAACGGGUCCGACGGUGAGGGACGAAGGCCAGGGGAGCAAACCGGAUUAGAUACCCGGGUAGUCCUGGCGGUAAAGGAUGCGGGCUAGGUGUCGGGUGAGCUGCGGGCUCGCCCGGUGCCGUAGGGAAGCCGUUAAGACCGCCGCCUGGGGAGUACGGCCGCAAGGCUGAAACUUAAAGGAAUUGGCGGG